rnacentral:rRNA from 1 species
CAGCAGCCACGGUAAUACGUAGGUGGCAAGCGUUGUCCGGAAUUAUUGGGCGUAAAGGGCUCGCAGGCGGUUUCUUAAGUCUGAUGUGAAAGCCCCCGGCUCAACCGGGGAGGGUCAUUGGAAACUGGGAACUUGAGUGCAGAAGAGGAGAGUGGAAUUCCACGUGUAGCGGUGAAAUGCGUAGAGAUGUGGAGGAACACCAGUGGCGAAGGCGACUCUCUGGUCUGUAACUGACGCUGAGGAGCGAAAGCGUGGGGAGCGAACAGGAUUAGAUACCCCAGUAGUCCCUGUCUCUUAUACA